UCUGCUUUGGUUUCUUGACUGAUUUGCCGAUGGACUUGUCUGGAGAUCCAUGGAUUGCUAGCCAGCCUAGAGCUCCUGUCUUCUUCUUGCGCAGACAGAAGCAGCGAGUCUGAAAAUCGCAAUCACCCAGGAAGAAAAUAACACCUCGGUGACCGCUGUGACUUCAGGGGAGAGCUGGGCCCGUUUCAGCCCCUUUGCUGCAAACCUGGCUUGAUUCAUUGCAUGACCUUCAGAGCAUCCUGCUGCAGGGGGAAUUUGUGGGUUCAGCUCAAGUGCUUUAAUUAGCAGCAGAUGAACAUCCCUGAAAAAAUGGCAGCAGCUAAUGAGGAUGAGGUCUGAGGUGAGAGGAGGGCAGGGGACUCCUCGGAUUCGGAGCCAGAUGAGACGACUUCCAUUUUUGGGCCCUUUCUCUUGUAAAACAGCUUGCAUCUGGCCCAGCUGAACCCCAUCACCUCUCAAGGUGCUGUGGCAAAUUUUGAACGGGACCCUCAUUUUCUGUCCUUUCUGCGCUCACCGAUAACCAGCGCAGCACCUGAGCCGCAUCCCCUUGGCCGAGCCUGCCCCGUUUGUGAGAGGUGACCUAGGACCAGAUUUGCUGGGCUUCCCUUCUGCCGGCACAGUCCUGUGCCCGACGGGAGCAGCCGGGGCUGCGGCGGAUGCCUGCUCGCCCCUUUGCACCCAGCGGCUGCUGCUGCUCCCUGAUGACAGGAACGGCCGGGUCGCAGGCUUGCUUCAAAACACAGAUUUAUGAUCUGAGCUCUUCUCCCCAUCUUUCCUUUUAUCUUUCUUUUACUGAAGCAAAUAUAAUACUCAAUGGACAGGCCCGCUAAGCCCAUUUAGUUAGUCACUGGGCCCAGAUGAAGGUCACCCUGCCGAACACUCAUAAUUCCUAUUCAGCACUAUAAAUAUGCAUUUGAUUCAUUGUCUCCUGUCCCUUCCGCCAUGGGGGACGGAAGAAGCGUACCAGCAGCCCCCUGUUCCUCCCUGCAGUGAUGUGAGUCACUGUCAUGGCUCUGAUGCUUCAUCAGAGCAGUAUUAUUCGGCAAUAAUUGUAAUUUAUGCUCUGAAAGU